AAUUGCUCAGUAUCGCGCCUGUACACUCGCAAUUCUCCAAGAUGUUUGGUUUCGCGAUGAUAAUUAAAAAUUAAUAGUCCCGGUAAGUGCAUGUAAGUACAUCAAUCCGAAGGAUACAGGCAAUUUUGAUCCUCACAAGUGGUACCGGGUGUUCUGGAAUGAUAACACACACUGCGGCCACUAUCACGCUCAAGUGAUUAAGCUUUACGGCACCGAGGAUGAUGCAAGGAAUGCAACAGAAAAACGACCAUCCAUUCCGCAGACCCGAUUGCGACUCCUCCGAUAGCUGCAGUUCAAAUGAAGUGGACAAUGAGUCGUUUAAAAAACAAAGAACCUUGUCCUUUGCGGGUGUUGCAGCCGCAAGCCUCAAAAACAGAAACGACUUGCACCUUUGCCACCACUAUGUG
rnacentral:lncRNA from 1 species